rnacentral:rRNA from 1 species
GACGAACGCUGGCGGCGUGCCUAAUACAUGCAAGUAGAACGCUGAAGAGAGGAGCUUGCUCUUCUUGGAUGAGUUGCGAACGGGUGAGUAACGCGUAGGUAACCUGCCUUGUAGCGGGGGAUAACUAUUGGAAACGAUAGCUAAUACCGCAUAACAAUGGAUGACACAUGUCAUUUAUUUGAAAGGGGCAAUUGCUCCACUACAAGAUGGACCUGCGUUGUAUUAGCUAGUAGGUGAGGUAACGGCUCACCUAGGCGACGAUACAUAGCCGACCUGAGAGGGUGAUCGGCCACACUGGGACUGAGACACGGCCCAGACUCCUACGGGAGGCAGCAGUAGGGAAUCUUCGGCAAUGGGGCAACCCUGACCGAGCAACGCCGCGUGAGUGAAGAAGGUUUUCGGAUCGUAAAGCUCUGUUGUAAGUCAAGAACGAGUGUGAGAGUGGAAAGUUCACACUGUGACGGUAGCCUACCAGAAAGGGACGGCUAACUACGUG